rnacentral:lncRNA from 10 species
CUGGCUAUGCCUGGAAGGUUGUACCCAAUGACUGACUCAUACAGGUGCAAAAACCUGGCCCCCAACGCAUGGCGGGACAACUCUGUGGUGCAUUCAGAUUCCCCCUGAGUGCCCGCCCUCCAGCCCUCACUCCAGUGAGGGGCCUGACCUGAAACAGCUGUCUGCCCUUGCCAGGCUCAGAGUUUGGGUUCACAGAACAGUGAU